rnacentral:rRNA from 1 species
AUUGAACGCUGGCGGCAGGCCUAGCACAUGCAAGUCGAACGGUAACAGGAAGCAGCUUGCUGCUUCGCUGACGAGUGGCGGACGGGUGAGUAAUGUCUGGGAAGCUGCCUGAUGGAGGGGGAUAACUACUGGAAACGGUAGCUAAUACCGCAUAAUGUCGCAAGACCAAAGAGGGGGACCUUCGGGCCUCUUGCCAUCGGAUGUGCCCAGAUGGGAUUAGCUUGUUGGUGGGGUAACGGCUCACCAAGGCGACGAUCCCUAGCUGGUCUGAGAGGAUGACCAGCCACACUGGGACUGAGACACGGUCCAGACUCCUACGGGAGGCAGCAGUGGGGAAUAUUGCACAAUGGGCGCAAGCCUGAUGCAGCCAUGCCGCGUGUAUGAAGAAGGCCUUCGGGUUGUAAAGUACUUUCAGCGGGGAGGAAGGGGGUAAAGUUAAUACCUUUGCUCAUUGACGUUACCCGCAGAAGAAGCACCGGCUAACUCCGUG